rnacentral:lncRNA from 1 species
UCGCCUUCAAGAAGGUAAUUGACCUUAUCUAAAAUAACAACAUUGUUACUUUUAUCGGCUUUCUUAAUGAUUAAUGAUUCAUCAUUUAACAGAGAAGAAAUGCCGGACCUCUGUGAAAGACUUAGAUUGUUUCGAAAUUUUCGAAUUUGCAUUGAAGAUAGUUCGUGCUUUGUAUUAAACAGGUAAUUUUCAAGGGUGUUGCAGCUUAAAGGUGGCGUAUGUCCAGAUUUAACUCUGAAGGGAUGAAUUUCAUCCAAGUUACCAUGAUAUAAGUAACGACAUCUCAUUUUUCUGGC